CACUGGUGUUCGGGUUGUCAUGCCAAUGGCACUGCCCGGUAGCUAAAUGCGGAAGAGAUAAGUGCUGAAAGCAUCUAAGCACGAAACUUGCCCCGAGAUGAGUUCUCCCUGACCCUUUAAGGUCCUGAAGGAACGUUGAAGACGACGACGUUGAUAGGCCGGGUGUGUAAGCGCAGCGAUGCGUUGAGCUAACCGGUACUAAUGAACCGUGAGGCUUAACCUU
rnacentral:rRNA from 1 species